AUGGGACCUAUUCCGGUUACAAUUCAAGGAAAAGUACGAAUUUAUGUGGAAUCAUUAGAUUACUUCAAGUUUCUAUUUAAGGCCAGGGUUUCAUACAAAGCCCAAAACAUUCAAAGUCCUCAUUUCCAAAUCAAAGGAAAAAUUGAGGCGUACAAAGAUUACUUCUGUUACAAAGCCUUAAAGGCUAUGAUAGUUUAG